AAGUCGUAACAAGGUUUCCGUAGGUGAACCUGCGGAAGGAUCAUUACCACGUUCCAAACGUAUCAACCAACGUGAAUCGUUAUUUCUCCCAUCGCAGAGAAUGAGCUGAAUCGCAUGAGUGCGUGCGCGGGAUCCUCGUUGAUCAGCGAGUGCGAAACAACUUACAGUUCCGAAAGGGCUGUAGACAGCUGUAUUUCUGUGGAUGGCUAAUCCUCUACUCUGGUUUCCGACGCCGAUCGUGAGUAGUAGGAGCACUAUAAACUAUAUUAACCGCUUUGCUAGUUGACUUGAUUAUGUUACUUUCGCUACGGCGUGAGUACACGUUUUUAAUUAAACGAAUUAUACAACUCUUAGCAAUGGAUAUCUAGGUUCUC
rnacentral:misc_RNA from 1 species